UGCCAGCAGCCGCGGUAAUACGGAGGGUGCAAGCGUUAAUCGGAAUUACUAGGCCUAAAGCGUGUGCAGCCUGACAAGGUAGUCUCUGGUGAAAUCUGGCAGCUCAACUGUCAGAAUUGCUGGGGAAACCACUUGUCUUGGUACUGGAAGAGGUAAGCGCUACUAGCAGGGGAGCGGUGAAAUGCAUAGAGCCUGCUGGGAGCACCUGUGGCGAAAGCGGCUUACUAGUACAGAUACGACGGUCAGACACGAAAGCGUGGGGAGCAAAGCGGAUUAGAUA
rnacentral:rRNA from 1 species